GACGAACGCUGGCGGCGUGCUUAACACAUGCAAGUCGAACGGAAAGGCCCUGCUUUUGUGGGGUGCUCGAGUGGCGAACGGGUGAGUAACACGUGAGUAACCUGCCCUUUACUUUGGGAUAACUUCAGGAAACUGGGGCUAAUACCGGAUAGGAGCUCCUGCUGCAUGGUGGGGGUUGGAAAGUUUCGGCGGUUGGGGAUGGACUCGCGGCUUAUCAGCUUGUUGGUGGGGUAGUGGCUUACCAAGGCUUUGACGGGUAGCCGGCCUGAGAGGGUGACCGGCAACAUUGGGACUGAGAUACGGCCCAGACUCCUACGGGAGGCAGCAGUGGGGAAUAUUGCACAAUGGGCGGAAGCCUGAUGCAGCAACGCCGCGUGCGGGAUGACGGCCUUCGGGUUGUAAACCGCUUUCGCCUGUGACGAAGCGUGAGUGACGGUAAUGGGUAAAGAAGCACCGGCUAACUACGUG
rnacentral:rRNA from 1 species